rnacentral:rRNA from 1 species
CCUACGGGUGGCAGCAGUGAGGAAUAUUGGUCAAUGGGCGCGAGCCUGAACCAGCCAAGUAGCGUGAAGGACGACUGCCCUACGGGAUGUAAACUUCUUUUAUAAAGGAAUAAAGUGAGGCAAGUGUGCCUUUAUGUAUGUACUUUAUGAAUAAGGACCGGCUAACUCCGCGCCAGCAGCCGCGGUAAGACGGAGGAGCCGAGCGUUAUCUGGUUUUAUUGGGUUUAAAGGGAGCGUAGAUGGGUUGUUAAGUCAGUUGUGAAAGUUUGCGGCUCAACCGUAAUAUUGCAAUUGAUACUGGCAGCCUUGAGUACAGUUGAGGUAGGCGGAAUUCGUGGUGUAGCGGUGAAAUGCUUAGAUAUCACGAAGAACUCCGAUUGCGAAGGCAGCCUUCUAACCUGCCACUGACAUUGAGGCUCGAAAGUGUGGGUAUCAAACAGGAUUAGAUACCCUAGUAGUC